GAUGAACGCUGGCGGCGUGCCUAAUACAUGCAAGUCGAGCGAACAGAUAAGGAGCUUGCUCCUUUGACGUUAGCGGCGGACGGGUGAGUAACACGUGGGUAACCUACCUAUAAGACUGGGAUAACUUCGGGAAACCGGAGCUAAUACCGGAUAACAUUUGGAACCGCAUGGUUCUAAAGUGAAAGAUGGUUUUGCUAUCACUUAUAGAUGGACCCGCGCCGUAUUAGCUAGUUGGUAAGGUAACGGCUUACCAAGGCGACGAUACGUAGCCGACCUGAGAGGGUGAUCGGCCACACUGGAACUGAGACACGGUCCAGACUCCUACGGGAGGCAGCAGUAGGGAAUCUUCCGCAAUGGGCGAAAGCCUGACGGGGCAACGCCGCGUGAGUGAUGAAGGGGUUCGGCUCGUAAAACUCUGUUAUUAGGGAAGAACAAACGUGUAAGUAACUGUGCACGUCUUGACGGUACCUAAUCAGAAAGCCACGGCUAACUACGUG
rnacentral:rRNA from 1 species